CCUACGUGAGGCAGCAGUGGGGGAUAUUGCACAAUGGGGGGAACCCUGAUGCAGCGACGCCGCGUGGGUGAAGAAGCGCCUCGGCGCGUAAAGCCCUGUCAGCAGGGAAGAAAAUGACGGUACCUGAAGAAGAAGCCCCGGCUAACUACGUGCCAGCAGCCGCGGUAAUACGUAGGGGGCAAGCGUUAUCCGGAUUUACUGGGUGUAAAGGGGGCGCAGACGGCUGUGCAAGCCAGGAGUGAAAGCCAGGGGCCAAACCCCGGGACUGCUCUUGGAACUGCGUGGCUGGAGUGAAGGAGGGGCAGGCGGAAUUCCUGGUGUAGCGGUGAAAUGCGUAGAUAUCAGGAGGAACACCGGUGGCGAAGGCGGCCUGCUGGACUGCAACUGACGUUGAGGCCCGAAAGCGUGGGGAGCAAACAGGAUUAGAUACCCCAGUAGUC
rnacentral:rRNA from 1 species